rnacentral:rRNA from 1 species
UACGUAGGGUGCAAGCGUUAUCCGGAUUUACUGGGCGUAAAGCGCGUUCAGGCGGUUUGGCAAGUCGGGCAUGAAAUCUCUCGGCUCAACCGGGAGAGGUUGUCCGAUACUGCUGGACUUGAGGGCAGUAGAGGGUCGUGGAAUUCCGGGUGUAGUGGUGAAAUGCGUAGAUAUCCGGAGGAACACCAGUGGCGAAAGCGGCCACCUGGACUGUACCUGACGCUCAAACGCGAAAGCUAGGGGAGCGAACGGG